CAACCGGUUUUGACCACUUUUUCGAAUUUUUCUCCUUACAGACUUCAACUCACAAAAUCACUUCACCUCACCGACUCAGACUUCCACGACGUCUCCGUUUGCCCAAACGUGCCAGGUACCUGGUGGCGGGUCAAAAAGCCCAGAAUAUGAUAACCCAGACAAGAUCCAUCCUGCCACCGGUCGCCAUCGCCAUCAUUACCUUCUGGUGCGCGACCCUGCCAACAUCACAGCCGUGGGUUGUUCCCCAACCCAAGAGGAAUGUGUGGAAGACUCUUGCCAGCGCCCUCGGCCAAGACAGCAUCUGCCUAACCACCGCGUCAGCAACAGACCUCUUGUCCACCUGCCUUGUGGGGAUCCCAAUCUCUCAAGAUGAGUUACCCGAUACCCUUUAUCCUUCCCUUGAACCCUUCUUUAAUAAUAAAAUCAAUUGCCCCUCCAAUCCUAACCCCAAUGUCGCCUGGAGAAGGUUUUCCAAUCGUUUAAAUCAAUCAAAGUCUGAACCAAUUGAAUUUACGUUACUCGGUUCCUCCACAGCCCAUUUUUGUUUUCAGUUCUUCCCAUUCCCGGGUCAGGACGAGAAAUCAUAUACACCAGUCAUAUCAUCGAAUUACACCGCCGGGAACUGGUGCUCUUCCCUGUCCCAAAUUACCACCUCCAUCACCUUCAAUGAUAAACCUAAGUCCCUUCCCAAUGGUUUGUUUCUAAUUUGUGGAAACCGAGCUUGGCAAGGCAUCCCCUCUCGCCUUCUCGGAGGUCCGUGUACUAUAGGCCGGUUGACGCUGUUUACACCCAGCAAAAACCAAAUUGUUAAUUGGCAAAAAAUAAAGGUCGCACCAAAUUCGAACCGCACCAAAAGAGAUUUGAGAAAUUUGGAUGAUACGUGCGACGAGGAAAUUGUACAUUGGAAUAAACUAGAAGAAGUAGCAUGGAUCACCUUCCUUCCUUGGGUAGCCGUUGCUCAAGCUCUAGGUGAAUUAGGCCACCUAGAGUGCUGGGUGGCGAAACAAGCAAAUUUAACAUCAACCGCGCUCAGUGACCUUUUAGAAGACGAGGAAAUAACAAGGCAGGCAACAUUGCAAAACAGGGCAGCGAUAGAUUUUCUAUUGCUGCUCCACGAUCACAAAUGUGACGAAUUUGAAGGGCUCUGUUGCUUGAAUCUGUCAUCGAAGGCCGAAGAUGUCCGAGUCUCCAUCAGCAAGAUGAAAGAAAUGAUAAAUCAGAUAAAAGAAGAGUCUGCAGACUGGGUGGGGAACUUGUUUGCAGGAUGGGGGUUGUCUGGGUGGGUGUCUUCCGUUCUAAAAACUGUUGUCUUAGUCUUAUUUAUUCUAUUGUUAGUAUCUGUUACGGUAUGCAUUGUUUGGAAUAUCUUAAAAAGGCUUUUGUUGAAGUCCACGUCCCCUGUGGAGAUCAACCGAGUAGUAGCAAAAGAAGAAGACGAACUAUAUGAAGAGGGCUUUGAAAUCCCGCAGGUGUUGGACUACCCCGGUUGGGACUCUUUUUCAGAGGACAGUUUUUGAUUUAUUACAUUGCCUUCUUUCGAUUUUCUUUUAAAACAGAAAAGGGGGAGAUGUGGGAUCGCGUUGGUUCGCUCUCCGCACCCCCGAGCUUAUGUUUGGUAUGGUCUUGGGAUGUACACUCCUCCUCUCCAUCAUCCCUUACCCCUCCCAGUUAUAGGAAUGUAUCUAUUUAACCUCCUCCCAGACCCCUGUUCAUCACUCAGUGGCCAGACCCACCUUCUAGAAUCUUCCAUCAGAUCUGUCAAGUUAUUGGUUCAAGGGCCAAGGCCACUCCCUUUCCCUAGUUCUAUUGGUUGCACAAGUUGUCAGUAGGUUGUAAGUUACACCCCCCCGAACCUCUGAUUGGUUGCUGUUCUCGCUUUAAAAAGCGCUGUCAAGCAGUGUUCAAGGUCUUCAGUUGGUUUCUCCCCUAGUGAAUAAACUGGACUGUGUUACCCCUGGAGACCGUCUCCGUCUAUUUCUGCGGAUUGCAGUUCCUGCCUCUUCGCUGGGAGUCCUCGUCACCUCAAGGCUUUAGCCUACCACCUGUUGAUGGCACAGCUUCUAGAGUGCAGAGAAAACACCCUGGUAGUGCCUUGAAGAAGAAGGUCUUGAAGAAGCAGGACAAUGUGUCCCUACUGCCCAAUAGGCCCAUCAUCC